GCCUACGGGACGCAGCAGUGGGGAAUAUUGCACAAUGGGCGCAAGCCUGAACGAGCGAUGCCGCGUGAGUGAAGAAGGCCUUCGGGUCGUAAAGCUCUGUUGCGGGGGAAAAAAGGCAGCAUCAGGAAAUGGGUGCUGACUGAUGGUGCCCCGCCAGAAAGUCACGGCUAACUACGUGCCAGCAGCCGCGGUAAUACGUAGGUGGCGAGCGUUAUCCGGAAUGAUUGGGCGUAAAGGGAACGCAGGCGGUCUUUUAAGUCUGAUGUGAAAGCCUUCGGCUUAACCGGAGUAGUGCAUUGGAAACU
rnacentral:rRNA from 1 species